rnacentral:tRNA from 2 species
GACCGUUUAGCUCAGCGGAUUAGAGCGUCUGACUACGGAUCAGGAGGUCGUGCGUUCGAAUCGCACAUCGGUUA